rnacentral:rRNA from 1 species
AGAGUUUGAUCCUGGCUCAGAAUGAUCGUUGGCGGCAUGGAUUAGGCAUGCAAGUCGAGCGAGAAGUGUAGCAAUACACGGAAAGCGGCGGGAGGGAGAGUAAUACGUGGGAAUCUGCCCUUAGACCUGGGAUAGCAGCGGGAAACUGCUGGUAAUACCAGAUAAUGUCUAUGGACCAAAGGUGUGAUUCCGUCUAGGGAUGAGCCCACGUCCUAUUAGCUAGUUGGUAGGGUAAUGGCCUACCAAGGCGAUGAUGGGUAGCGGGUGUGAGAGCAUGACCCGCCUCACUGGGACUGAGACACUGCCCAGACACCUACGGGUGGCUGCAGUCGAGAAUCUUCGGCAAUGGGCGCAAGCCUGACCGAGCGAUGCCGCGUGCGGGAUGAAGGCCUUCGGGUUGUAAACCGCUGUCGAGGGGGAGCAACUUCCAUAGAGUUAUCUUUAUGGAUUGAGUGAUCCCUGGAGGAAGGACGGGCUAAGUUCGUGCCAGCAGCCGCGGUAAGACGAACCGUCCAAACGUUAUUCGGUAUCACUGGGCUUAAAGAGUUCGUAGGCGGCUAAACAGGUGAGGUGUGAAAGCCCUCGGCUCAACCGAGGAACUGCGCUUCAAACCGUUUAGCUAGAGGAAGACAGAGGUGAGCGGAACUGAUGGUGGAGCGGUGAAAUGCGUUGAUAUCAUCAGGAACACCGGUGGCGAAAGCGGCUCACUGGGUCUUUUCUGACGCUGAGGAACGAAAGCUAGGGGAGCGAACGGGAUUAGAUACCCCGGUAGUCCUAGCCGUAAACGAUGAG